GGGGAAGUGGCUCAGUGGUAGAGUGCUUGCCUUGCAUGCAUGAGGCCCUGGGUUCAAUUCCUUUGCACCA
rfam:Dipodomys ordii contig_8088, whole genome shotgun sequence.